rnacentral:rRNA from 1 species
AUCAACGCUGGCGGCGCGCUUAACACAUGCAAGUCGAACGAGAAAGUGGGGGCAACUCCAUGAGUACAGUGGCGCACGGGUGAGUAACACGUGGACAACCUGCCUGAGAGUGGGGAAUAACCUUGGGAAACCGAGGCUAAUACCGCAUACGCCCCCCGGAGCACAAGCCCUGGGGGGGAAAGGCGCAAGCCGCUCACAGAGGGGUCCGCGGCCGAUUACGGUAGUUGGUAGGGUAACGGCCUACCAAGCCUUUGAUCGGUAGCCGGCCUGAGAGGGCUCACGGCCACACUGGCACUGAAACACGGGCCAGACUCCUACGGGAGGCAGCAGUGGGGAAUCUUGCACAAUGGGGGCAACCCUGAUGCAGCGACGCCGCGUGAGUGAUGAAGCCCUUCGGGGUGUAAAGCUCUUUUGGCGGGGAAAAUCAUGAUGGUACCCGCUGAAUAAGCUGCGGCUAACUACGU